GUUGUUCGGAAUUACUGGGCGUAAAGGGCGCGUAGGCGGUUGGAUAAGUCAGCUGUGAAAACCACGGGCUUAACUCGUGGCCUGCAGUUGAGACUGUCUGGCUUGAGUGUGGGAGAGGAGAGUGGAAUUCCUGGUGUAGCGGUGAAAUGCGUAGAUAUCAGGAGGAACACCGGUGGCGAAGGCGGCUCUCUGGACCACAACUGACGCUCAUGCACGAAAGCGUGGGGAGCAAACAGG
rnacentral:rRNA from 1 species